AGAGUUUGAUCCUGGCUCAGGAUGAACGCUGGCGGCGUGCUUAACACAUGCAAGUCGAACGAAGCGCGCGGAAGGAAGGCCUUCGGGCCGGAGAGCCGCGGGACUGAGUGGCGGACGGGUGAGUAACGCGUGGGCAACCUGCCCCGUACAGGGGGAUAACAGCCGGAAACGGCUGCUAAUACCGCAUAAGCGCACAGCGCCGCAUGGCGCGGUGUGAAAAGCUCCGGCGGUACGGGAGGGGCCCGCGUCUGAUUAGGCAGUUGGCGGGGCAGCGGCCCACCAAACCGACGAUCAGUAGCCGGCCUGAGAGGGCGGCCGGCCACAUUGGGACUGAGACACGGCCCAAACUCCUGCGGGAGGCAGCAGUGGGGAAUAUUGCACAAUGGGGGAAACCCUGAUGCAGCGACGCCGCGUGAGCGAAGAAGUAUUUCGGUAUGUAAAGCUCUAUCAGCAGGGAAGAAAAAAAUGACGGUACCUGAGUAAGAAGCAUCGGCUAAAUACGUGCCAGCAGCCGCGGUAAUACGUAUGGUGCAAGCGUUAUCCGGAUUUACUGGGUGUAAAGGGAGCGUAGGCGGCGCGUUAAGUCUGAUGUGAAAACCCGAGGCUCAACCACGGGAGUGCAUUGGAAACUGGCGUGCUGGAGU
rnacentral:rRNA from 1 species